GACGGUACCUGCAGAAAAAGCGCCGGCUAACUACGUGCCAGCAGCCGCGGUAAUACGUAGGGCGCAAGCGUUAUCCGGAAUUAUUGGGCGUAAAGAGCUCGUAGGCGGUUUGUCGCGUCUGCUGUGAAAUCCGGAGGCUCAACCUCCGGCCUGCAGUGGGUACGGGCAGACUAGAGUGCGGUAGGGGAGAUUGGAAUUCCUGGUGUAGCGGUGGAAUGCGCAGAUAUCAAGAGGAACACCGAUGGCAAAUGCAGAUCUCUGGGCCGUAACUGAC
rnacentral:rRNA from 1 species